GACGGAAGGUGCAAGCGUUGCUCGGAAUCACUGGGCGUAAAGGGUGCGUAGGCGGCCGUGCAAGUCUGGCGUGAAAGCCCCGGGCUCAGCCCGGGAAGUGCGCUCGAAACUGCACGGCUCGAGUGCCGGAGGGGAGAGUGGAAUUCCUGGUGUAGCGGUGAAAUGCGUAGAUAUCAGGAGGAAUACCGGUGGCGAAAGCGACUCUCUGGACGGUAACUGACGCUGAGGCACGAAAGCGUGGGGAGCAAACAGGAUUAGAAACCCCAGUAGUCC
rnacentral:rRNA from 1 species